rnacentral:rRNA from 1 species
UACGUAGGGGGCUAGCGUUGUCCGGAAUCAUUGGGCGUAAAGAGCGUGUAGGCGGCCCGGUAAGUCCGCUGUGAAAGUCGGGGGCUCAACCCUCGAAUGCCGGUGGAUACUGUCGGGCUAGAGUGCGGAAGAGGCGAGUGGAAUUCCUGGUGUAGCGGUGAAAUGCGCAGAUAUCAGGAGGAACAACGAUUGCGAAGGCAGCUCGCUGGGACGUCACUGACGCUGAGACGCGAAAGCGUGGGGAGCAAACAGG